rnacentral:tRNA from 1 species
GAUCCGGUACUUUAAAUUAAAAGACCUGAUUUGCAGUCAGAAAAUGAGUUAUUAUGCUUUCGGGUCA